GGGCGGUUAGCUCAGUUGGCUAGAGCGCCACGUUGACAUCGUGGAGGUCACAAGUUCAAGUCUUGUACCGCCCA
rnacentral:tRNA from 4 species